rnacentral:rRNA from 1 species
AAGUCGUAACAAGGUCUCCGUUGGUGAACCAGCGGAGGGAUCAUUACUGAGUACUACACUCUCUACCCUUUGUGAACUAUUAUACCUGUUGCUUCGGCGGCGCCCGCAAGGGUGCCCGCCGGUCUCAUCAGAAUCUCUGUUUUCGAACCCGACGAUACUUCUGAGUGUUCUUAGCGAACCGUCAAAACUUUUAACAACGGAUCUCUUGGCUCCAGCAUCGAUGAAGAAUGCAGCGAAACGCGAUAUGUAAUGUGAAUUGCAGAAUUCAGUGAAUCAUCGAAUCUUUGAACGCACAUGGCGCCUUCCAGUAUCCCGGGAGGCAUGCCUGUCCGAGCGUCGUUUCAACCCUCGAGCCCCUGUGGCCCGGCGUUGGGGAUCUGCCACGGCAGGCCCCUAAAACCAGUGGCGGACCCGAAGGGCCCUCUCCUUUGCGCAGUAGCAUUCGCCUCGCAUCGGGAGUCCUCGGCGUCCUGCCUCUAAACCCCCCACAAGCCCGCUUCGGCGGCACCAAGGUUGACCUCGGAUCAGGUAGGAAUACCCGCUGAACUUAA